CGAACGGGUGCGUAACACGUGAGCGACCUGCCUUUCCGCGGGGGAUAGCCGGCCCAACGGCCGGGUAAUACCGCAUACGCUGCUUGAGGGGCAUCCCUUGAGUAGGAAACCUCCGGGGCGGAGAGAGGGGCUCGCGACCUAUCAGCUAGUUGGCGAGGUAACGGCUCACCAAGGCGGCGACGGGUAGCUGGUCUGAGAGGAUGGCCAGCCACAUUGGGACUGAGAUACGGCCCAG
rnacentral:rRNA from 1 species